rnacentral:rRNA from 1 species
AACAGGAUUAGAUACCCUGGUAGUCCACGCCGUAAACGAUGUCGACUUGGAGGUUGUGCCCUUGAGGCGUGGCUUCCGGAGCUAACGCGUUAAGUCGACCGCCUGGGGAGUACGGCCGCAAGGUUAAAACUCAAAUGAAUUGACGGGGGCCCGCACAAGCGGUGGAGCAUGUGGUUUAAUUCGAUGCAACGCGAAGAACCUUACCUACUCUUGACAUCCAGAGAACUUAGCAGAGAUGCUUUGGUGCCUUCGGGAACUCUGAGACAGGUGCUGCAUGGCUGUCGUCAGCUCGUGUUGUGAAAUGUUGGGUUAAGUCCCGCAACGAGCGCAACCCUUAUCCUUUGUUGCCAGCGGUUAGGCCGGGAACUCAAAGGAGACUGCCAGUGAUAAACUGGAGGAAGGUGGGGAUGACGUCAAGUCAUCAUGGCCCUUACGAGUAGGGCUACACACGUGCUACAAUGGCAUAUACAAAGAGAAGCGACCUCGCGAGAGCAAGCGGACCUCAUAAAGUAUGUCGUAGUCCGGAUUGGAGUCUGCAACUCGGCUCCAUGAAGUCGGAAUCGCUAGUAAUCGUGGAUCAGAAUGCCACGGUGAAUACGUUCCCGGGCCUUGUACACACCGCCCGUCACACCAUGGGAGUGGGUUGCAAAAGAAGUAGGUAGCUUAACCUUCGGGAGGGCGCUUACCACUUUGUGAUUCAUGACUGGGGUGAAGUCGUAACAAGGUAACC